rnacentral:rRNA from 1 species
AGGACGAACGCUGGCGGCGUGCUUAACACAUGCAAGUCGAGCGGAAAGGCCCUUCGGGGUACUCGAGCGGCGAACGGGUGAGUAACACGUGAGCAAUCUGCCCUUAGCUUCGGGAUAGCUCCGGGAAACCGGAAUUAAUACCGGAUAUGACUAUGGCUGACAUCAGCCACGGUGGAAAGUUUUUCGGCUAGGGAUGAGCUCGCGGCCUAUCAGCUAGUUGGUGGGGUAACGGCCUACCAAGGCGACGACGGGUAGCCGGCCUGAGAGGGCGACCGGCCACACUGGGACUGAGACACGGCCCAGACUCCUACGGGAGGCAGCAGUGGGGAAUAUUGCGCAAUGGGGGAAACCCUGACGCAGCAACGCCGCGUGGAGGAUGAAAUAUCUUGGUAUGUAAACUCCUUUCGAUGGGGAAGAUUAUGACGGUACCCAUAGAAGAAGCCCCGGCUAACUUCGUGCCAGCAGCCGC